CCUAUGUGUUGAGAUCAUGACUGGUUCAUUUGUUGGUGGUAUCAACAUUGGCUUCUUCACGCUAUUUGCCCACAUCGACCAAGUUUCCAUUAUCAUUACAUUCACUGUAGCUUCUAGCACCGCUCCUGUCUCCACUACUGUGACUCCAGGGUCCGUUGAGUCCUUUGAGGCAAUUGUCAAGAUGCCCAGUGUUCACUCUAGGCCGAAGACUGAGACCUCAACAAUUGUGGUGGUUACCUUGCAAUCUUCGCUGGCCUGCGGAAGCCCAUCUCUGCAGUCAUCCUGCCGCUCCACUGUCCGCCCCGCCGUCUAUUCUGGCCGAGUCCUCGGAUACCCUCCCGCUGAGAGCUGUCACGGCCGUCACUGAGCCAGUUCUGUUCUACAUCCACUGUACCGCUAACACCAGUCUAUUCGUUCAAGCGUGGUAUGCGUGUAGGGUGUGGCAGUGGGUGUGCAGUCAGCGACAUCCACCUGUAACCCAGUGGAGCGUUUUGACCUCUCCUGAUUUACUGGCACUGCGGACCAACGCCAACAUCUGAUUCACAUCGAUACUGUUCCAGAAUGCCGGCUCUUCAUGGUACACUUUUGCUGCUUGAAAGCGGCAUACCAUGCCUAAGUAAUGUAGUGCAUCAUAUUCUUCUCACGAGUCUUGGCACAUCAAUAUUGCCAAGUCGAUUGGUCUUCCAUCUGUUGCUAAAUAUAUUAAUUUCAAUAACUUUCUUGCUAUUUCAAGUACUUGUCUCAAAUUUUGCGAGCUUCAGACCCAUAAUUAUUAUAGUAUUAUCACACUUCUACCGUCUAUUGCAAUGCUGUAGUAUUGUAGUGUUUUGAUCCCUAGGUCGGCUGAGCUCUGUUCCCAAAUUGCCAUCUAACGUACGACAUGUAUUGUACGUUUCUUUGUAGAUUUAUAGAAUGACGUCAUUGUACUCUUGCUUUUUCCUUCAUGAUUGUUUUGUUUUCAACCUGCUUGCUACAUGGAUAUCUUCUUGCCUUUUCCACAAAGAUUUUACCACCUACAUAUGUUUUCCUUCGAAUAUUUUUUCAUCAGGAUUUUCUUUUCUUUUCACUGUGUUUCCUUUCACAUACUGUAGUAUUUUUACUGUAGUAUUUUUGUAGCAUUUUUUAC